UAGGGAAUCUUCCACAAUGGGCGAAAGCCUGAUGGAGCAACGCCGCGUGUGUGAUGAAGGGUUUCGCUCGUAAAACACUGUUGUAAGAGAAGAAUGACAUUGAGAGUAACUGUUCAAUGUGUGACGGUAUCUUACCAGAAAGGAACGGCUAAAUACGUGCCAG
rnacentral:rRNA from 1 species